UACGUAGGGUGCAAGCGUUGUCCGGAAUUAUUGGGCGUAAAGAGCUCGUAGGCGGUCUGUCGCGUCGGCUGUGAAAUCCCGAGGCUCAACCUCGGGUCUGCAGUCGAUACGGGCAAACUAGAGUAUUGGCAGGGGAGACUGGAAUUCCUGGUGUAGCGGUGAAAUGCGCAGAUAUCAGGAGGAACACCGGUGGCGAAGGCGGGUCUCUGGGCAAUAACUGACGCUGAGGAGCGAAAGCGUGGGGAGCGAACAGG
rnacentral:rRNA from 1 species